ACUCCUACGGGAGGCAGCAGUGGGGAAUAUUGCACAAUGGGGGAAACCCUGAUGCAGCCAUGCCGCGUGUGUGAAGAAGGCCUUCGGUUGUAAAGCACUUUCUAGUAGGAGGAAGGUAGUGUAGUUAACACCUGCAUUAUUUGUACGUUACCUACAGAAGAAGCACCGGCUAACUCCGUGCCAGCAGCCGCGGUAAUACGGAGGGUGCGAGCGUUAAUCGGAAUUACUGGGCGUAAAGCGCAUGCAGGCGGCCUGUUAAGUCAGAUGUGAAAGCCCGGGGCUUAACCUCGGAAUUGCAUUUGAAACUGGCAGGCUAGAGUCUUGUAGAGGGGUUAGGAAUUUCAGGUGUAGCGGUGAAAUGCGUAGAGAUCUGAAGGAAUACCAGU
rnacentral:rRNA from 1 species